rnacentral:rRNA from 1 species
AGAGUUUGAUCAUGGCUCAGAUUGAACGCUGGCGGCAGGCCUAACACAUGCAAGUCGAACGGUAACAGCAGAGCUUGCUCUGGCUGACGAGUGGCGGACGGGUGAGUAACGCGUAGGAAUCUACCCAGUAGUGGGGGACAACUUGGGGAAACGCAUGCUAAUACCGCAUACGCCCUACGGGGGAAAGCGGGGGACCAUCGUUGGAUGAGCCUAAGUCAGAUUAGCUUGUUGGUGGGGUAAUGGCCUACCAAGGCGACGAUCUGUAGCUGGUCUGAGAGGAUGAUCAGCCACACUGGAACUGAGACACGGUCCAGACUCCUACGGGAGGCAGCAGUGGGGAAUAUUGCACAAUGGGCGCAAGCCUGAUGCAGCCAUGCCGCGUGUGUGAAGAAGGCUCUAGGGUUGUAAAGCACUUUAAGCAGGGAGGAAGGCCAGUUAACCUACAGAAGAAGCACCGGCUAACUCCGUGCCAGCAGCCGCGGUAAUACGGAGGGUGCGAGCGUUAAUCGGAAUUACUGGGCGUAAAGGGUGCGUAGGCGGCACGGUCAGUCGGAUGUGAAAGCCCAGGGCUUAACCUGGGAAUUGCAUUCGAUACUGCCGAGCUAGAGUAUGUUAGAGGAAUGUGGAAUUUCCUGUGUAGCGGUGAAAUGCGUAGAUAUAGGAAGGAACACCAGUGGCGAAGGCGACACCCUGGACCAAUACUGACGCUGAGGUGCGAAAGCGUGGGGAGCUAACAGGAUUAGAUACCCUGGUAGUCCACGCCGUAAACGAUGUCAACUAGCCGUUGGGGGUAUUAAAACCUUUAGUGGCGCAGCUAACGCGAUAAGUUGACCGCCUGGGGAGUACGGCCGCAAGGUUAAAACUCAAAGGAAUUGACGGGGGCCCGCACAAGCGGUGGAGCAUGUGGUUUAAUUCGAUGCAACGCGAAGAACCUUACCUGCCCUUGACAUCCUCGGAACUUGUCAGAGAUGAUUUGGUGCCUUCGGGAACCGAGUGACAGGUGCUGCAUGGCUGUCGUCAGCUCGUGUCGUGAGAUGUUGGGUUAAGUCCCGUAACGAGCGCAACCCUUGUCCUUAGUUGCCAUCAGUUCGGCUGGGCACUCUAAGGAUACUGCCGGUGACAAACCGGAGGAAGGUGGGGACGACCUCAAGUCAUCAUGGCCCUUAUGGGCAGGGCUACACACGUGCUACAAUGGUCGGUACAGAGGGUUGCGAAGCGGUGACGUGGAGCCAAUCCCAGAAAACCGAUCUUAGUCCGGAUUGAAGUCUGCAACUCGACUUCAUGAAGUCGGAAUCGCUAGUAAUCGCGAAUCAGAAAUGUCGCGGUGAAUACGUUCCCGGGCCUUGCACACACCGCGCCGU